AUGAAGUUCCCUCUUUCCCCACCCCCCUCCCCCGCUUUGUUUUGUCUUGCUUUGUAGAACCGAAAAAAUGUACACCGCAAACAUUUGGCACCACUUUAAUUGCUCAAGGGCCAGCAGCCGCUCAAGACUUUAAUUCGGAAUAGUCGGCGAGCCAGUAGGCGAGUCUGUGUUUUGAAGCCUGGGAUGGGAGAUGGGUGUGACGCUGCGGUAAGUCCGCUGCGGUCCGUGAAGUAGAAUACGGCUCCCUUACUUUACUAAAUAUCUUGCAGCUCAUGCAUUAGUUAAAAGUGGGCAUUGCAUUUGAACUGUUACUCUCGCGAAAGGAAGUCCCAAGUCUCUCCGUGAUAAGUCUAUUAAAAAUGACAGUUGGGGAAAAGGAAAGAGACCAGCUCUGGUGCAAAAUAAAACGCGGCAAACAGUAAUUCAUCUCGGGCGGGAGCUUUGGUACAUUGACGUUCCCUUUUGUGUGUGUUUGUGUUUCUGACCCAUUUCCGUAGAUUAUCUGAAAUAAUCCUUGGAACAAGAAACGUUACACUUUCCAUGAUAACUAAAAACAGAGCGCUCGCUGCUCGAUACAAAGGUCUUUCUUUAGAUCAAACUCCAGGCGGAUGCACCAUUGAUUCUGUUCGAAUACAUCUGGAAAACGUAUUUGGUAACAACGUGUUCGCCAACGCAAGGGAAGGAUAUAAGAACUGGAAUUUUUACAGUGGCUUUCGUCCAGUCGAUUCCUGCUCACAGCAUCAUUGUGCUACCUGCCUACAGAGAGGGUUGCUGAGUGAAUUCUACGAUGCAUGAUUUCGAGAGCUCCAGAGGGUUUAAGCUCACCGUCUCCCUACGUCGGAGAUCUUGCUGUGAUCCAGCUGGUUCCUGACUUCAUUUCAGCUGUUGUCCAAACAUGGACAGGAGAACAGAGUUCCAGAGGCAAUAAGAAAGCUACUCCCUUAGCAUGAAGGCAGCACUUGAUGGAGUGAGGCAUUCAGGAACCCUGUCAAAACUGAAGUCAAUGGGCAUCAACAGGAAACCUCUCCAAAGACUGGAUUCAGAAAGGAAAAUGCUCAAUGGUAACUUAAGGUGUUCUUUGACAAUGCCUCUCCAACAAGCCUUUUUUUCUGAAAAAUCCUCUGUAUCUAUUGACCUAGUGUGGUCUUGAACCAUGACCUAUUCAUAUAGAACAGGCAAAAAGCUGUGCGCUCACUAGCACAGCAGGUGGAGGUGCAGCCACAUGAUCCAGAGACUUGUAUUUGAUCUUGACCUUGGGCGCAUUCUGUGAGAAGGUUGCAGGUCAUCUAUGAAUGCAUGCAUUCCAUUGGUUGCUCCAGCUAAAGGGUUGCUUCGUAUCACAGUAGAAGGAAGGGGCAGGAGAGUUGAGGUGAGUUUAGGGAAAUGCAAGAAGAAAAUAUGGGAUUAGUGUAGAAUUAGUGCAAAUUAACAUUUGAUUGUUGGCAUUGGAAACUAUGGGCUGAAUAUUCUACGCUUUAUGAAUCAUUACCAAGAGACAGUGGAAAUCGAACAACAGUAUAUUUUUGGACGGAAGCUAAUCCGAUCAUUAGAACUGUAAUAGGAUGAACGUUUGACCACUGGAAAACGAGGCAAAGGGCUGUAGAAGGUAAUUUCAACAAUCUGGGAUUUGGUAGAAACAGAUGGGGUCGAAGAAUUCAGUAUUUUGUUAAAUGGCAGAGUGCAAUGGAUGAAAUGCAAGAAAUUAUUAUAGGGAUUGACUUCUGCGAGUUUUAAUCUUACACUCUUCGAAUGGAAAUGGCUACAAACCCACUAUUCUUCAUUCUGUUGCAAGAAUGUACUUUGUCUCAAAGACUAAUCUGACACAUUUUGCAUAAUUUAUCAUAAGAGUGAAUUUCUUCUAAGUAUGUAAUAUUUAUGUAAGUGACAAAUUAAAUGCCAAUUCAUUGAAUAUGAAAUGUAAAUAUUUUUGAAUAUAUUUUUAAAAUGUUUCAAACACCCAAGUGGUUCAUUAAAGGAUUAGAGGAGGGUCAAUGGCAAAAGUAACUAAUACUACAACACAGCAAAAAAAGGCUAAAGCUAUUUAGACCAAUGUACACAAAGGAUUGGUAAUGUCAAUCAUAUCUCUGGUUCAGAAGGCUGAUUUCACUCACACAGCAAGAAUGUAAGCAAGUAGUGUCGGCUGCUAAUUUAACACAUUAUUGAAGGAAUACUUCACUGCUCAAUUCACAAUUACAAUGGACCACACACUUUUUCAAAAAUGUUCCUUCCUCAGAUUUUUUUUGUUUAUGAUAAACCACUUGAAGUUGUAUGCAAAUAAAAUUUCAGAUUACUUGUA